GAUGAACGCUGGCGGCGUGCCUAAUACAUGCAGGUCGAGCGAACAGAUGAGGAGCUUGCUCCUCUGACGUUAGCGGCGGACGGGUGAGUAACACGUGGAUAACCUACCUAUAAGACUGGGAUAACUUCGGGAAACCGGAGCUAAUACCGGAUAAUAUAUUGAACCGCAUGGUUCAAUAGUGAAAGACGGUUUUGCUGUCACUUAUAGAUGGAUCCGCGCCGCAUUAGCUAGUUGGUAAGGUAACGGCUUACCAAGGCAACGAUGCGUAGCCGACCUGAGAGGGUGAUCGGCCACACUGGAACUGAGACACGGUCCAGACUCCUACGGGAGGCAGCAGUAGGGAAUCUUCCGCAAUGGGCGAAAGCCUGACGGAGCAACGCCGCGUGAGUGAUGAAGGUCUUCGGAUCGUAAAACUCUGUUAUUAGGGAAGAACAAAUGUGUAAGUAACUAUGCACGUCUUGACGGUACCUAAUCAGAAAGCCACGGCUAACUACGU
rnacentral:rRNA from 1 species